rnacentral:rRNA from 1 species
UACAGAGGUCUCAAGCGUUGUUCGGAUUUAUUGGGCGUAAAGGGUGCGCAGGCUGUGUGGUAAGUUUGGUGUGAAAUCCUGGGGCUCAACCUCAGAAUUGCACUGAAUACUGCCAUGCUAGAGGACUGGAGAGGAGAUUGGAAUUCACGGUGUAGCAGUGAAAUGCGUAGAUAUCGUGAGGAACACCAGUGGCGAAGGCGAAUCUCUGGACAGUUCCUGACGCUCAUGCACGAAGGCUAGGGGAGCAAACGGG